CUGUGAUCUCUUUCUCUGUGUCUGUGGUGAUUGUGCAAAAGCAAAAACAAACAAAGCGAAGCACCUAAUAAAUUAUCAUUUGAAAUUGGUAUUGUAAUUAGUAAUAACCUGAAGGCUGAAAUUAAAUCUCAAAUAUUAAUACGUAGAAAUGUUUUACAAAGUGUUUGUUCUUAUAUUCUCGAUGCUAGCCGUCAGCAGAGUCGAAGCAGCACAUAGCUAUGACUUUGGAGACUUUUUAGCAACAGUUUUGGGCAUUGGAAUCGCUGUAAUAGGUAUUCUAGCAUGCUUGGGUAAUUACGCAAGGCAGAAAGCAAGAAAUGAAUUCAUAUAGUGUUUCAUACAUGCUGUAUUAACUGAUUGAACAUCAUGGCUACGCUGGUUUCUAUUAAUAAACUUGUGUCAUACCAUAAAAUUUUGUUAUAAUAUUAUACUUUAAUAUAGCACAUAUUUUUUUGUUACUAUUACAGUAAAACAUCUGUAUUAUUAAAGUUAACAAUAAAUGUAAAAUUCAUUCAGUUUUGACUGA
rnacentral:lncRNA from 1 species